rnacentral:rRNA from 1 species
AUGUCGUCGCCGUCGCUGCCCUCGGUCCGCCUCCCGCUGCGCCCGUCCCCGGCCGCGGCGACAACGCCGCUCUCCCGCCGGGGCGCGCCCGUCCGCUCCCUCGCGGCAUCCCCCGCCCCCGCCGUCGCCCUCAAGCCCCUCGUCUCCAAGGCGCCCGCGUCCGGCUCCUACCGCUCCGCGCUCCUCCUCCACCGCCGCCGCUAUGCGCUGCCCGAGACCGCCGUCUCCGAACCAACCCCCAAGGUCACCAAGGAGUACCAGGACUGGGACUCCCUGACGGGCAAGUUCGCGGGCAGCGCCAACGUGCCCUUCCUCCUCCUCCAGCUCCCGCAGAUCAUCCUCAACUACCGCAACCUCGUCGACGGCAACAAGACCGCCCUCUUCGCCGUCCCAUGGCUCGGGAUGCUCACCGGGCUGCUCGGCAACCUGGCGCUCGUGUCCUACUUCGCCAAGAAGAGGGAGACGGAGGCUGUCAUCGUGCAGACGCUGGGCGUUAUCUCCACCUACGUGGUCAUCGUCCAGCUUGCCAUGGCGGAGUCCAUGCCCUUCCCGCAGUUUGUGGCCACUUCGGCUGUUGUCGGCGCCGGGCUUGUCCUCAACUUGCUCAAUUACAUUGGGUGGCUCCCAGAGACCCUCUGGCUGCUAUGGGAGGAUUUCACGACAAUCGGCGGCCUUACCGUGCUCCCUCAGGUCAUGUGGUCAACGUUUGUUCCCGUCAUCCCCAGUAGCAUACUGCCUGGCAUAAUCUGUGGCUCUUUGGCUGUUGCUGCUGUUGCCAUGGCAAGGAUGGGCAAGCUUUCCGAAGGAGGAACUAAAUUUGUGGGGUCGUUGUCUGGUUGGACUGCCACACUUUUGUUCAUGUGGAUGCCAGUUGCACAGAUGUGGACAAACUAUCUCAACCCAAGUAACAUCGAAGGACUGUCAGCGUUCUCAAUGUUGCUUUCAAUGAUUGGAAAUGCACUUAUGAUUCCUCGUUCUGUAUUUAUCAGAGAUCUGAUGUGGUUCACCGGUUCUAUUUGGGCAUGUGCCCUACAAGGUUGGGGCAACCUGGCCUGCAUGUACUGCUGCAACAGCAUCAGCAGAGAAUUUUUCUUCGCGACGACAUUUGGAUUGCUUCUGUGGCUAGGUUUCACCUUCGGGAGAGAUACCGAUGCCUACGGCCACAGCUCACCCAUGGAUUCUCUGAAGGAGCUGAUCUUCGGGAAGUGA